rnacentral:rRNA from 1 species
UACGGGGGGGGCAAGCGUUGUUCGGAAUUACUGGGCGUAAAGGGCUCGUAGGCGGCCAACUAAGUCAGACGUGAAAUCCCUCAGCUUAACUGGGGAACUGCGUCUGAUACUGGAUGGCUUGAGUUCGGGAGAGGAGCGUGGAAUUCCCAGUGUAGAGGUGAAAUUCGUAGAUAUUGGGAAGAACACCGGUGGCGAAGGCGGCGCUCUGGACCGAGACUGACGCUGAGGCGCGAAAGCGUGGGGAGCAAACAGG